rnacentral:rRNA from 1 species
UACGAAGGGGACUAGCGUUGUUCGGAAUCACUGGGCGUAAAGCGCACGUAGGCGGAUUUGUAAGUCAGGGGUGAAAUCCCGGGGCUCAACCUCGGAACUGCCUUUGAUACUGCGAAUCUUGAGUCCGAUAGAGGUGGGUGGAAUUCCUAGUGUAGAGGUGAAAUUCGUAGAUAUUAGGAAGAACACCAGUGGCGAAGGCGGCUCUCUGGGACGGUACUGACGCUGAGACGCGAAAAGCGUGGGGGAGCGAACAGG